AGGUUCGAUUCUGGCUCAGGAUGAACGCUAGCUACAGGCUUAACACAUGCAAGUCGAGGGGCAGCAUAUCGAAAGCUUGCUUUGAUGAUGGCGACCGGCGCACGGGUGAGUAACGCGUAUCCAACCUUCCCUAUACUAGAGGAUAGCCCGGCGAAAGUCGGAUUAAUACUCUAUGUUCUUCGUAGAAGACAUCUGAAAUGAAGCAAAGGUUUACCGGUAUAGGAUGGGGAUGCGUCUGAUUAGGUUGUUGGCGGGGUAACGGCCCACCAAGCCCACGAUCAGUAGGGGUUCUGAGAGGAAGGUCCCCCACAUUGGAACUGAGACACGGUCCAAACUCCUACGGGAGGCAGCAGUGAGGAAUAUUGGUCAAUGGACGAGAGUCUGAACCAGCCAAGUAGCGUGCAAGGAUGACGGCCCUAUGGGUUGUAAACUGCUUUUAUACAGGGAUAAAGUGCACUACGUGUAGUGUUUUGUAGGUACUGUAUGAAUAAGGACCGGCUAAUUCCGUGCCAGCAGCUGC
rnacentral:rRNA from 1 species